rnacentral:lncRNA from 1 species
GUCGUCACUUUUUUUUUUCCUAUAAAUGUUUUGAUUCCACAAAUACUAUAGUAUAGAUGAAAACAAAGCAAGAUGAUAGAAAAUAGGGUUUGAUACCACAAGUGUGGUCCAAAUCAAAACAAAAAAUAUAAUAAAAAUAGGGUUUGAUACCACAUGUGUGGUCCAUAUCAAAACCAAGAUAGAUAAUGGAUGAAGGUUAAAAAACCAAGAAAGAUAAUAAAAAGGGUUUGAUACGACAACGCUAGCUCGGAUCAAAAUCUAUGCCUUUCAAUAUUAAAAAAA